rnacentral:snRNA from 1 species
UUAACGAGAUUCCCACUGUCCC